GCCUUCCAUACUUGCAAGGCUACUUUCCCAAAUAUUGUUCUCAGAUCAGAGCACUUGAAAGUUCAAUCGCAACCUUCCCUGCACCUUUCUCCUUCUAUCCCUCUUUCCCUCUCUAUCAAUUUUCAGUUUCCCGUAGACAUAUGGUUCCUCUCUUCCUCUCUAGCAUCUAGAUCUGAAUUUAUACAAUCAUGGACACACUUUAAAGACCCUUCCGAUGCAAUGGCAGACUUCAAGGAAAAGCGAUGGUACUUCUACUUCAGUGGAUUAGAGUGAAAUGCUUAUCUCAGUUAGAGUAGAGAAAUGGGUCUUACUGGAAGGCAAAAUGAAAACGGCCCGUCAAAAUUGGAUCUUGAACAUCUAUCAGUUUUUAAGAGGGGGUUUGGCUGUAGCAGCAGGGAAGUAGGGAAGUGGGUGGCUUUCCGGUGGCACCGCUGGCUCAGUAUAACCCAUUAGAUGAGCCGAGUCCAUUGGGAUUGAGGCUGAGGAAAAGUCCUUCCCUUUUGGAAUUGAUCCAAAUGAGGCUUUCUCAAGCUAUCUCACCUAAGGGUGAAAGUUCCAGUAAAAAAGAGCUUAAAGGGGCCGCUGCUUCUGGUUCCUCUGAGAAGCUCAAGGCUUCAAAUUUUCCAGCAACUAUUCUGCGAAUUGGGACCCGGGUGGUAUAUUUAUACAUUUGCAUUGGAUCAUGGAUUUUAGAAACUUGUUUUAUUGGAUUGCUUGUGAUUUCGUUAAUUUUGAUUGCAUGUCUUUGUUCUAAUUUCUAGUAUAAGUCAAGAUAUGGAGGGGAUUUGGUAGCAAAGUGUUAUUUUGCAAAGCAUAAGCUUGUACGGGAGGUUCUUGAUGGCGGGCUCAAGAAUAAGAUUGAAAUUCAAUGGUCUGAUAUAAUGGCUUUGAAGGCGAAUUAUCCUGAUGACGGACCGGGGACUUUGGAUGUAGUGCUUGCAGGACAACCUCUUUUCUUUAGGCAGACAAAUCCACAGCCCAGGAAGCAUACCCUGUGGUAGGCAACAUCUGAUUUUACUGGGGGUCAAGCCAGCAUACAAAGCAGGCGUCAUUUUCUGCAGUGUCGACAAGACUUGUUGGGAAAGCAUUUCGAAAAGCUUAUUCAAUGUGAUCCUCAUCUUAACUUCCUGAGUAAACAAGGAGAGAUAACGUUGGAUUCUCCAUAUUUUGAACCCAGAAUCUCUGUGUUUGAUGACCCAAGUGAAAACAAAGCUGCAUUUGAUUUGAACAAUCAUGAGAGUCCCACUUUCUUCAACCUGAGGGGAUGCAGCAUCACCAUCAGGUGGUCAAUCAUCAUCUUCGAGGAAUGAACAAGACAUUGUUAGUAGACCUCGAGAAGACAUGAAACACCAUCACCCAGCUCAGAAAUGGAUACGCAUGUAAUUGAAGAAAUAAAAAAUGGUGGAGGAGAGCAAACAUGAUAUGGCUAUGAAGCUCUUACAAGCUACUUCGAUUAUGGACUUCGCCAAUUAAUGCAAACAUGAUAUUCAUUGUAUAUUGGCACAGGGUCUAUCUUAGCAUUUGUUAUCCUAAGCAAUUUUGGUUGUACAUAUUAAAGCCCAAUUAGAAUUUGAUUUGAGUAUCUUUGUGCUUUGUACUGUUGAUAGUAUUGGUUGUAAUAUAUUAUUGCUCGUUUUGUAUUUGUAAUGACAAAUUGGUUUGUUAUUUCGUAUACAAAUUUUGC